CAGUAGCCUCGGGAAAACAGAGGGUGCGAGCGUUAAUCGGAUUUACUGGGCGUAAAGCGUGCGUAGGCGGCUUCUUAAGUCGGAUGUGAAAUCCCUGAGCUUAACUUAGGAAUUGCAUUCGAUACUGGGAAGCUAGAGUAUGGGAGAGGAUGGUAGAAUUCCAGGUGUAGCGGUGAAAUGCGUAGAGAUCUGGAGGAAUACCGAUGGCGAAGGCAGCCAUCUGGCCUAAUACUGACGCUGAGGUACGAAAGCAUGGGGAGCAAACAGGAUUAGAUACCCCCGUAGUCCCUGUCUCUUAUAC
rnacentral:rRNA from 1 species